rnacentral:rRNA from 1 species
UACGUAGGGUGCAAGCGUUGUCCGGAAUUAUUGGGCGUAAAGAGCUCGUAGGCGGUUUGUCGCGUCUGCUGUGAAAACCCGAGGCUCAACCUCGGGCCUGCAGUGGGUACGGGCAGACUAGAGUGCGGUAGGGGAGAUUGGAAUUCCUGGUGUAGCGGUGGAAUGCGCAGAUAUCAGGAAGAACACCAACGGCGAAGGCAGCUCGCUGGGACGGUACUGACGCUGAGACGCGAAAGCGUGGGGAGCGAACAGG